rnacentral:misc_RNA from 1 species
GUAUUAAUUAUGGUAUUGAACAUUCUGGUUUGGUUGUGUGAUGUAAAGGCGAGCGGGUCUCCCCGCUCGAGGCGCACGGUGUGUGAAUUGGAUUCGGAGUGCAGCCGGAGCGCACAUCCGAAGAAUCUUUAAUGAUCCUUCCGCAGGUUCACCUACGGAAA